GAUGAACGCUGGCGGCGUGCCUAAUACAUGCAAGUCGAGCGAACGGACGAGAAGCUUGCUUCUCUGCUGUUAGCGGCGGACGGGUGAGUAACACGUGGAUAACCUACCUAUAAGACUGGGAUAACUUCGGGAAACCGUAGCUAAUACCGGAUAAUAUUUUGAACCGCAUGGUUCAAAAGUGAUAGACGGUCUUGCUGUCACUUAUAGAUGGUUCCGCGCUGCAUUAGCUAGUUGGUAAGGUAACGGCUUACCAAGGCAACGAUGCAUAGCCGACCUGAGAGGGUGAUCGGCCACACUGGAACUGAGACACGGUCCAGACUCCUACGGGAGGCAGCAGUAGGGAAUCUUCCGCAAUGGGCGAAAGCCUGACGGAGCAACGCCGCGUGAGUGAUGAAGGUCUUCGGAUCGUAAAACUCUGUUAUUAGGGAAGAACAUAUGUGUAAGUAACUGUGCACAUCUUGACGGUACCUAAUCAGAAAGCCACGGCUAACUACGUG
rnacentral:rRNA from 1 species